rnacentral:rRNA from 1 species
AGAGUUUGAUCCUGGCUCAGAUUGAACGCUGGCGGCAUGCCUUACACAUGCAAGUCGAACGGUAACGCGGGGGCAACCCUGGCGACGAGUGGCGAACGGGUGAGUAAUACAUCGGAACAUAUCCAGUAGCGGGGGAUAACCUAUCGAAAGAUGGACUAAUACCGCAUACGAUCUACGGAUGAAAGCAGGGGACCGCAAGGCCUUGCACUAUUGGAGUGGCCGAUGUCGGAUUAGCUAGUUGGUGGGGUAAAAGCUUACCAAGGCGACGAUCCGUAGCUGGUCUGAGAGGACGAUCAGCCACACUGGAACUGAGACACGGUCCAGACUCCUACGGGAGGCAGCAGUGGGGAAUUUUGGACAAUGGGCGCAAGCCUGAUCCAGCCAUGCCGCGUGAGUGAAGAAGGCCUUCGGGUUGUAAAGCUCUUUCGGUGAAGACGAAACGGUUCAUGCUAAUAACGUGAACUAAUGACGGUACUCACAGAAGAAGCACCGGCUAACUACGUGCCAGCAGCCGCGGUAAUACGUAGGGUGCAGGCGUUAAUCGGAAUUACUGGGCGUAAAGCGUGCGCAGGCGGUUUGCUAAGACAGGUGUGAAAUCCCCGGGCUUAACCUGGGAAUUGCGCUUGUAACUGGCAAGCUAGAGUGUGGCAGAGGGGGGUGGAAUUCCACGUGUAGCAGUGAAAUGCGUAGAUAUGUGGAGGAACACCGAUGGCGAAGGCAGCCCCCUGGGUUAACACUGACGCUCAUGCACGAAAGCGUGGGGAGCAAACAGGAUUAGAUACCCUGGUAGUCCACGCCCUAAACUAUGUCAACUAGUUGUCGGGGAAGAAAUUCCUUGGUAACGAAGCUAACGCGUGAAGUUGACCGCCUGGGAGUACGGCCGCAAGGUUAAAACUCAAAGGAAUUGACGGGGACCCGUACAAGCGGUGGAUUAUGUGGAUUAAUUCGAUGCAACGCGAAAAACCUUACCUACCCUUGACAUGCUAGGAAGCCCGCAGAGAUGUGGGUGUGCCCGAAAGGGAACCUAGACACAGGUGCUGCAUGGCUGUCGUCAGCUCGUGUCGUGAGAUGUUGGGUUAAGUCCCGCAACGAGCGCAACCCUUGCCAUUAGUUGCUACAUUCAGUUGGGCACUCUAAUGGGACCGCCGGUGACAAACCGGAGGAAGGUGGGGAUGACGUCAAGUCCUCAUGGCCCUUAUGGGUAGGGCUUCACACGUAAUACAAUGGUCGGUACAGAGGGCUGCCAACCCGCAAGGGGGAGCUAAUCCCAGAAAGCCGAUCGUAGUCCGGAUUGUAGUCUGCAACUCGACUGCAUGAAGCCGGAAUCGCUAGUAAUCGCGGAUCAGCAUGUCGCGGUGAAUACGUUCCCGGGUCUUGUACACACCGCCCGUCACACCAUGGGAGUGGGUUCCACCAGAAGUAGUUAGCCUAACCGCAAGGAGGGCGAUUACCACGGUGAGAUUCAUGACUGGGGUGAAGUCGUAACAAGGUA